GGAGUGGGGGGAUAACCGUAGCGAAAGUUACGCUAAUACCGCAUACGAUCUAAUGGAGGAAAGUGGGGGCUUCGCAAGAACCUCAUGCUCCUGGAGCGGCCGAUAUCUGAUUAGCUAGUUGGUAGGGUAAAAGCCUACCAAGGCUUCGAUCAGUAGCUGGUCUGAGAGGACGACCAGCCACACUGGAACUGAGACACGGUCCGACUCCUACGGGAGGCAGCAGUGGGGAAUUUU
rnacentral:rRNA from 1 species